AUGUGUGGCCUCGACAAUGACCGCCGAGGGCUGGAGCGCCAGCUGCUAGCCGUCGAGUACAAGCUGGCAAGGGCCGAGGAGAGGAGCAAGACAAACACCUAUAUCAAGAGCUGGAGGAAGGAGCUCAAGUCCGUCGCAUAUGAGGCCGGCGACGUGCUGGACGACUUCCAGUACGAGGCGCUGCGCCGGGUACUCAGCUACAUCACGCACCACAACCCACUGCUCUUCCAUUUUGAAAUGAGCAAGAAACUAAAGACUGUCCUCAAGAAGAUCAAUAAGUUGGUCGAGGAGAUGAAAAAGUUUGGUCUGGAGGAUCCUAUCCACAGGGAGGAGCGGCAACAUCUAUGGCGGCAAACGCACUCAAAAUUAGAUGAGUCUACCGAAAUCUCUGGAAGAGAGAAUGAUAAGAAGAUGGUGGUGAAGUUGCUACUGGACCAGCAAGAUCAACAGAAGGUGCACGUGCUGCCCAUCUUUGGAAUGAGAGGUCUUGGCAAGACGACUCUUGCUAAGAUGGUGUAUAAUGACCAACGGCUCCAGCAACAUUUCCAGUUGAAGAUGUGGCACUGUGUGUCUGAGAACUUUGAUGCCAUUGCUAUUUUGAAAUCCAUCAUUGAGUUGGCUGUAAAUAAAAGAUGUGAUAUGCCUGACACAAUCAAGCUGUUGCGAAAGCAACUUGAGGAAGUCAUUGGCCGGAAGAGGGAAGAUGAUAAGGAGGUGGUAGUGAAGCUGCUGCUGGACCAGCAUGAUCAACGGAAGGUGCAAGUUCUUCCCAUCUUUGGGAUGGGAGGUCUUGGCAAGACAACAAUUGCUAAGGUGGUGUACAAUGACCAAGAGGUCCAGCAGCAUUUCCAGUUGAAGAUGUGGCACUACGUUGAGUUGGCUGUAAAUAAAAGAUGUGGCAUGCCUGAUACCGUCGAGCUAUUACAAAAGCAACUUGAGGAAGUCAUUGGCCAAAAAAGGUUUAUGCUCGUGCUUGAUGAUGUGUGGAAUGAAAACAAGAGGAUGUGGGACGAUGUCCUAAAGCCACUAUUAUGUUCUAUUGGUGGACCAGGAAGUGUUAUAGUGGUCACAUGUCGAAGCAAGCAAGUGGCCUCUGUAAUGUGCACCAUCGAGCCCCAUGAGCUCGUAUUCCUGAGUGGAGAAGAUUCUUGGGAUUUUUUUUCGAAUAGAGCAUUUAGCAAUGGUACAGACAAGCAAGCAGAGUUAGUCACCAUCGGAAGGCGUAUAGUCAAUAAAUGUGGGGGGUUGCCUCUUGCUCUCAAGACAAUGGGCGGAUUGCUAAGUUCGAAGCAAAAGGUACAAGAAUGGAAGGCCAUCGAAGAGAUUUCCCUCAAGGAUUAUGAGAUGGAAAAGGAUAGGUUGAUCCAACUAUGGAUGGCAAAUGGCUUUAUCCAGGAAGAGGGAACAAUGGAUUUAACACAGAAAGGAGAAUUAAUUUUCGAUGAGCUAGUUUGGAGGUCCUUCCUCCAAGAUAAUAAAGUGGUAGUUAAAUCAGCUGAUAACACAAAAUAUGAGACAAUAGUAUGUAAAAUGCACGACUUAAUGCAUGAUCUAGCAAAAGAUGUCAGCGAUGAAUGUGCAAGUAUAGAAGAACUGACUCAUCAGAAAGCAUUGUUUAAAGGUGUUUGUCACAUGCAAAUGUCAAAGGCUGAAUUGGAACAAACCAGCCUAUUAUGCAAAGGCAGAACAUACCUCCGCACUAUGUUAGUUCCUUCAAAAUCAUGGAUGGAGCUGCUACAGGUAUCGACAUCGUUAAGAGCGUUGCAUUGCUCCUCUUCUCCAAUUGUCAUUUGCAUGGCCAUAAAUGCAAAACAUUUACGGUAUCUUGAUCUAUCUGGGUCAAACAUCGUUAGGUUGCCAAAUUCAGUAUGUAUGUUGUAUAACCUACAAACACUGAGGCUCAUAGAUUGCAAGGAGUUGCAGCAGUUACCAGAAGACAUGGCAAGAUUUAGAAAGCUCAUCCAUCUUUACCUUUCUGGUUGUGUACGUCUCGGAAGUAUGUCUCCAAACUUUGGUCUGAUGAACAACCUUCACAUAUUAACAACAUUUGUCGUGGAUACUGGAGAUAGCCUUGGAAUAGAGCAACUCAAGGACUUGCAACACCUUAGAAAUAGGUUGGAACUGUUAAAUUUGAGCAAAAUAAAGAGUGGGGAGGAUUCAAAAGAAGUGAAUCUCAGUCAGAAGCACAAUCUAAGUGAGUUUUUGUUUUCUUGGGACAAAGGAAUGCAUGAUGUGCCUACAGAUGUGGAAGAAGUGCUCCAAAGUUUAGAACCUCAUCGUAACAUCCAAAAGUUGGAGAUGUGUGGAUAUGGUGGCCUAGAAAUAUCACAAUGGAUGAGAAAGCCUCAAAUGUUUAACUGCUUGAGAGAACUCAAAAUUUCCGACUGCCCAAGAUGCAAGAGUAUACCUGUAGUAUGGCUCUCGGAAUCUCUAGAGAUUUUGUCCUUAACGAAUAUGGUUAACUUGACAACAUUAUGUAAGAAUCUUGAUGUGGAAGGUGGAGAACACAAUACCGCUCUGAAAAUUUUCCCUGGGUUGAAGAGGAUGGAAUUGAUUACCUUACCAAGCCUGGAGAUAUGGGCAGAAAAUAUUGUGGGGGAGUGUGGUGAUAGUUUGAGCGUUCCCAUGCUUGAAGAGCUAAAAAAUGAAAAUUGCCCCAAAUUCCAAAUAUUCCAGUGACCCCCAUUGUUAGAAAGUUGCAAAUAA
rnacentral:rRNA from 1 species